NGGACGCGAUGAUUGAUGCUCUAAGAAAGAUGAGGAAAUCUCAAGAAAAUUCCUCUAGAUAGUCUAGUUCUGAUCCAG
ensembl:snoRNA